rnacentral:rRNA from 1 species
GUUUUAGAAAGAUACUUCGGUUGAUUUUUAAACGGACAGCGGCGAAAGGGAGAGUAACGAGUAGAUACGUACCCAAGGGUUCGGGAUAGCCAUGCGAAAGCGUGAGUAAUACCGAAUAAUGUCUCCGGACCAAAGAUUUAUCGCCCUUGGAGCGGUUUGCUUACUAUUAGCUUGUUGGUGGGGUAAAGGCCUACCAAGGCUUAGAUGGUUAGCGGGUGUGAGAGCAUGACCCGUCUCACUGGGACUGAGACACUGCCCAGACACCUACGGGUGGCUGCAGUCGAGAAUCUUCCGCAAUGGACGCAAGUCUGACGGAGCGACGCCGCGUGCUGGAUGAAGGCCCUCGGGUUGUAAACAGCUGUCGUAGGGGAGGAAAUUUUGACCGAUCCUAGGAGGAAGCACAGGCUAAGUUCGUGCCAGCAGCCGCGGUAAUACGAACUGUGCAAACGUUAUUCGGAAUCACUGGGCUUAAAGGGUGCGUAGGCGGGUUGGUAGGUCAGAUGUGAAAGCCCACGGCUCAACCGUGGAAUUGCGUUUGAAACCACUAGUCUUGAGGGGAUCAGAGGAGAGCGGAACUGAUGGUGGAGCGGUGAAAUGCGUUGAUAUUAUCAGGAACACCGGUGGCGAAAGCGGCUCUCUGGGAUCCUUCUGACGCUGAGGCACGAAAGCUAGGGGAGCGAACGGGAUUAGAUACCCCGGUAGUCCUAGCUGUAAACGAUCUGUACUAGUCCGUGGGGACUCCCACAUCUUCUCGGACGUAGCGAAAGUGUUAAGUACAGCGCCUGGGGGAGUAUGGUCGCAAGGCUGAAACUCAAAGGAAUUGACGGGGGCUCACACAAGCGGUGGAAGGAUGUGGCUUAAUUCGAGGCUACGCGAAGAACCUUACCUAGACUUAACAUGUUUGAGAAUCUCUGUGAAAGCAGAGAGUGCCUUUCGGGGAACUCUUACGUAGGUGCUGCAUGGCUGUCGUCAGCUCGUGUCGUGAAGAUG